rnacentral:rRNA from 1 species
AGCAGCCGCCGCGGGAAUACGGAGGGGGCUAGCGUUGUUCGGAAUUACUGGGCGUAAAGCGCACGUAGGCGGCUUUGUAAGUUAGAGGUGAAAGCCUGGGGCUCAACUCCAGAAUUGCCUUUAAGACUGCAUCGCUUGAACGUCGGAGAGGUGAGUGGAAUUCCGAGUGUAGAGGUGAAAUUCGUAGAUAUUCGGAAGAACACCAGUGGCGAAGGCGGCUCACUGGACGACUGUUGAUGCUGAGGUGCGAAAGCGUGGGGAGCAAACAGGAUUAGAUACCCCGGUAGUCCCUGUCUCUUAUAC